rnacentral:rRNA from 1 species
AUUGAACGCUGGCGGCAUGCCUUACACAUGCAAGUCGAACGGCAGCACGGGAGCAAUCCUGGUGGCGAGUGGCGAACGGGUGAGUAAUAUAUCGGAACGUGCCCAGUCGUGGGGAUAACGUAGCGAAAGCUACGCUAAUACCGCAUACGAUCUAUGGAUGAAAGCGGGGGAUCGCAAGACCUCGCGCGAUUGGAGCGGCCGAUAUCAGAUUAGGUAGUUGGUGAGGUAAAGGCUCACCAAGCCGACGAUCUGUAGCUGGUCUGAGAGGACGACCAGCCACACUGGGACUGAGACACGGCCCAGACUCCUACGGGAGGCAGCAGUGGGGAAUUUUGGACGAAUGGGCGCAAGCCUGAUCCAGCAAUGCCGCGUGCAGGAUGAAGGCC